AAGAAUGCUAUUUCUGUUGUUUCUCCCUCACAGAAACCUCUGAUAUUCACUAAACCAAACAUUCUAAUUCUCUCUCUCUAAUUCUUUCAAGCAGACACCGCAAAUCGGAUUCAAGCUCAAUGGCAGUUCGAUGCUAGAUAAAUCGGAUUCCCAGUAAUCCGACCUCCAAUACUUAUUGCCUCUGGUUCUCCGAUUUUCAGCCUUCAAUAUUACGCCUUAAUCUCAGGCUUCAUUCCUCUCUUGCUCUUUCUCCCUCUCAACAGAUCCCUAUUCCAAUACCGCCAAGUCUCCUUUUUCCAGUGCGUCUCCAUCUUAUUUUCAGAUAUUGAAGCAGAGAAAAGUUAAAAAAAAAAAAUUAAAAAUGAAAUUCUUGGGUUGGUACGUGAAGAUAGCAAUCGUUUCAGCCAUGAUUGGAGGCUCCAUGGAGUUGUUCAUGGUCAAAACUGGCUUUUAUGACAAGGUAACCGAAUUGGAGGCAGAAAAGAGGGCCUGGGAGAGCUCCCCUGAAGCCAAAGCCAUUAAAGACGCUCUCAAUCCGUGGAGAAAUCGUGAUGCAGAACCAAA